UCGAGCCCCACGUCUCCCUCGCGACCAGGUAGCGAGAAAACUUUCCCAGUCUUAACCUGCCCGGGAGUCAAACACUCAACUUUAACUAGUAUCAACAAACAGACCCCACAGAGGGUAAGAGUUCCUGAGCUCCAGGACAGCCAUGGCCGAAUCCCAGCUCAUGUGCAUGGAGGACGGCCACAUCGGAGCCAAGGUCCCGGACUCCAAACCCGAGUUCUAUUACAGCGAGGAGCAGCGCGCGGCCAUCGAGGAGCUGCUCAAGAACGGCGACGGCGCCUUCAAAACGCGACUUAAAAAUGACAACAUGAAAGACUUUUUAUCGGCCAGGGAAGUCAAACUGUUGUUGAAUACUUUCAAGCAGUACGACUUAGAUAAUGAAGACAGUAGCAGCAAAGCCCCGACGGCCAGUUCACAGCAGGGAGCCACCGGUACCGACGCAGAUUCGGGGGUCCAUUCCACCUACUGGCCCCAGAUGUCUGACACCGAGGUGCCGCCGCUGGACAUCGGCUGGCCGAGCGGGGGCUUGUUUAAAGGGAUAACCCGGGUAGCCGUACACACACACCCGCCCAAAGAAAACGGACCUCACAUCAAGGAGGUGGUGCGGCGACUCAUCCAGGGGGCCAGCAAGGUGAUAGCGAUAGUGAUGGACAUGCUUACAGACGUCCAGAUCCUGCAGGACCUGAUGGACGCAGCCUGUCUUCGCUCUGUGCCUGUUUACAUCUUGUUGGAUAAGCAAGCCGUGCCACACUUCCUGGAUAUCUGCUGCAGGCUGGAGAUUGGCGCACAGCACCUUCGGAACAUCCGAACCAGAACACUACAGGGACUUGGCUUCAGUUUGUCCUUCGGUAGACUGCCUGGUUCCCUGUGUAAUAAGUACAUGCUGGUGGAUGGGGACAAAGUCGUGUUUGGCUCAUACAGUUUCUCCUGGUGUACGUCUCGUAUGGACCGCAACAUGAUCACUGUGAUGACGGGGCAGGUGGUUGACUUCUUUGACCAGGACUUCCGUGAGCUUUAUGCCAUCUCCGAGAAGCUGGACCUUUACAAAGAGUUCCACGUGAGCCCGCCUGCUACUAAUGCAACUGCAACAAUACGCUCUAAAGUGGGCCCAAAACGGCCGCCGUUACCGGCGACCACAUCCCGCUUCCAGGUUACCCUAGGGGAUUCUCGGAAUGCUCAAAUCCAGGUGCCUGCACACAAAUACCACAAUCCCAAAUACUCCCUGGUGUUUGGGGACAUCCCACGUUCAACAGGGUCUCUGCAGGAGCCUGGACCCAAGAGAGGGUCCGCUCUGGCCGAGCUUCCAGAGGAUUAUGACCCGGCAAGGCCACGAGUGGCCGGCAGUGAGAAGGUGGAGCGCCGGAGUUCGUUGACCUCAGAAGCCCCGAGCGAAAUCUUUAAGACGCCUAAUGGAGUCCUGCAGGACAAGAAGCCCACAUGGAUACAGAAACUCACCAGGAAGAAACUAUCCAGUAAGCUUUCGGAUAACAACUUGGCGAGCAGCCCUUUACCCACAGAAACCAAUAGGACGGAAGAGGACAACUUUGAUGUGAACGCGAAGUCUCAAUCCAAAAGGAAGCUUAAGAAGCCAUCUAAACCGGUCCCGAGGACAGACUCUAAGCAAUCUGUCAACACUGGACCGGACGAUGAGUGUCUUCAAAGUGGACGUCCAGGAAAAUGUAAAGUGUCCUGAGGUGAACCUGCCAGUCUGUCCAUUGAUAGGAUUACAUUCUUAAAACGGAUUAUGAAAGGACUUCCACUGACACUAUGAUCACCUUUGAUUGUGCAAUAUUGUAAGAACUUUAUCCAGUGCCUUACAGAAAGACCAAAUGAAUGAACAGUUCUUAAGGCACUGAUAAAUACAGUUGCCAAAUUUGAAAUGUUAAGGCAAUAAUCAAUAUGCUUGGUGAUAUCUGUUGCCCUGGUGGGCUGCAGAGAGGUUUAAUGAGAUAUUUGCUGGUAUUUGUUUGCAACUUGAUUCCUCAGGACUUUUGUGGCUAUGUGAAUAUACGGGUGUCUUGAGGACACUGAAUGUAAAGUUUGCAUGUUUUAGUACACUAAACCCUAAAGAAGUGUACUUGUUUUUUUUCUGCAAACAAAGGUGGUGUUCAGGUAGAAGAUCAUUUGAAGGGAGCAAUUUUUUGGAGGUUAUAUAUACAUGAGAUGGGAAAGUUAGGGGCCUUUUUUAUCAAUCCAAGCGCACGGCGUAAAGCGCGUGGUGCAGCUGCAUUUAGGGUGUGUCCAAAUCCCCUUUUUGUAGUUUGACAGCGGAAAAAAGGGUUGGUGCGCCGGGCGCAUUGGUUCU